AAUUGACUACUUUCAGUGUAUUUACUUUAUAUUGAUCAUAAUCAGUUCAAAGUGUAAUGAACUGUCAAUCCACUUAUGUAACGUAAUGAAACGAUUCUGAAGGACAUAAAACCAAUAAACAAACGAAGAGCAGGUCUCUUUCGCUUAAUAACUCUCAACCAAACUAGUCGUUUAAAAGUGUACCGAAAUACCCCUAUAAUACCAUACAUUACAGCUGGCGACGAAGGAUAAAUUUUAAUUCAAGUGUUUAGUUUUUGGUAACUAUCCGUCGGGAUUCCGUCCAACAUUAGUUAGCUGGUGCUCCGGUAGUGCAGUAAAAAAAACUUAGCAGACGAAGAAAGGUUGAAUUGUUUGAAACAAAGGUUUCCGGACUGCGCAUUGACCAUACUUUUCCGGCAACGGUUGAAAGGAAGUUGCUAAUUGGCAUCAGUGAAAGUGAACAUCCUGUGACGAGUUUUAAACGAAUUUCUGUUCGGAUUCUUGUUCGAAACUGGUGACAAAUCUGUUCGGAUUUCUGUUCGGAUACGUUCAGCGAUUUUUCCGCUCCGCUGGUUGAGCGGCUAGCAAACCGCUUACUGGCUGGCAUACGUAAAGGUCUGGAUAAUUUGGUAGCAAUUGGAAGCGUGCAAACCACUGCUCAUCGAACCCAAAUUCGUCCGGCUAAUGAUCCGGAACCCUUUAACAGGCCAAACAUCUCGCUUCCUACUACCAACUCACAGAACAUGGCCCGAUCAAUUGACCCGCCGGUUACUACCGGUUGCGAACACCCAUUGGAUUUCACAGAAGAACUAAACGGUCGUGGCACCAAACGUAAACGAGAAGAUACUCGGCCGGAUAUCGAACCUCGGCGAUUUAAACGAGUUAGACAAGCUAAGUCAGAUCCGAAUUAUGUUUACUAUGAUUAGAAUUAAGGUGCUCUGAAUUAAUACCUUUGAAAAAUGAAUAUCAAUGUGUUCAAAGUUGAAUU